rnacentral:rRNA from 1 species
CUCUUGGAGAGUUUGAUCCUGGCUCAGGACGAACGCUGGCGGCGUGCCUAACACAUGCAAGUCGUACGGGCCUGGGGGCAACUCCAGGUCAGUGGCGAACGGGUGCGUAACACGUAAGCAACAUGUCCGACGGUGGGGGAUAGCCGGCCCAACGGCCGGGUAAUACCGCAUGAAUUCGCCUGGGACAUCCCGGGUGAUGAAAGUGGGGGCAACCUCACGCCGACGGAGUGGCUUGCGGCCUAUCAGCUAGUUGGUGAGGUAAUGGCUCACCAAGGCUACGACGGGUAGCUGGUCUGAGAGGAUGACCAGCCACAUUGGGACUGAGACACGGCCCAGACUCCUACGGGAGGCAGCAGUGGGGAAUAUUGCGCAAUGGGCGAAUGCCUGACGCAGCGACGCCGCGUGUGGGAUGACGGCCUUCGGGUUGUAAACCACUGUCGGAGGGGACGAAGGCCCGGCGGCUCAUACCCGACCGGGAUUGACGGUACCCUUAGAGGAAGCACCGGCUAACUCCGUGCCAGCAGCCGCGGUAAUACGGAGGGUGCGAGCGUUGUCCGGAAUCACUGGGCGUAAAGGGCGUGUAGG